rnacentral:rRNA from 1 species
GACGAACGCUGGCGGCGUGCUUAACACAUGCAAGUCGAACGCUGAAGCUUGGUGCUUGCUCUGGGUGGGUGAGUGGCGAACGGGUGAGUAAUACGUGAGUAACCUGCCCUUGACUCUGGGAUAAGCCUGGGAAACUGGGUCUAAUACUGGAUGUGACAUGCCACUGCAUGGUGGUGUGGGGAAAGGGUUUUACUGGUUUUGGAUGGGCUCACGGCCUAUCAGCUUGUUGGUGGGGUAAUGGCCUACCAAGGCGACGACGGGUAGCCGGCCUGAGAGGGUGACCGGCCACACUGGGACUGCGACACGGCCCAGACUCCUACGGGAGGCAGCAGUGGGGAAUAUUGCACAAUGGGCGGAAGCCUGAUGCAGCGACGCCGCGUGAGGGAUGACGGCCUUCGGGUUGUAAACCUCUUUCAGCACGGAAGAAGCGAGAGUGACGGUACGUGCAGAAGAAGCGCCGGCUAACUACGUG